rnacentral:rRNA from 1 species
UGCAAGUCGAGCGGGGAGAUGCCUUCGGGUGUCUUCUAGCGGCGGACGGGUGAGUAACGCGUGAGCAACCUUUCCUUCACAGGGGGAUAACGCAGCGAAAGCUGUGCUAAUACCGCAUGAGACCACAGAGCCGCUUGGUUCAGAGGUCAAAGGAGCAAUCCGGUGAAGGGUGGGCUCGCGUCUGAUUAGCUAGUUGGCGGGGUAACGGCCCACCAAGGCGACGAUCAGUAGCCGACCUGAGAGGGUGAUCGGCCACACUGGGACUGAGACACGGCCCAGACUCCUACGGGAGGCAGCAGUGGGGAAUAUUGGGCAAUGGGGGAAACCCUGACCCAGCAACGCCGCGUGAGGGAAGAAGGUCUUCGGAUCGUAAACCUCUGUCCUUGGUGAAGAGUAGAAGACGGUAGCCAAGGAGGAAGCCCCGGCUAACUACGUGCCAGCAGCCGCGGUAAUACGUAGGGGGCAAGCGUUGUCCGGAAUGAUUGGGCGUAAAGGGCGCGUAGGCGGCCUGUUAAGUCUGGAGUGAAAGUCCUGCUUUCAAGGUGGGAAUUGCUUUGGAUACUGGCGGGCUGGAGUGCAGGAGAGGUUAGUGGAAUU